rnacentral:rRNA from 1 species
AUUGAACGCUGGCGGCAGGCCUAACACAUGCAAGUCGAGCGGAUGAAGGGAGCUUGCUCCUGGAUUCAGCGGCGGACGGGUGAGUAAUGCCUAGGAAUCUGCCUGGUAGUGGGGAUAACGUCCGGAAACGGGCGCUAAUACCGCAUACGUCCUGAGGGAGAAAGUGGGGGAUCUUCGGACCUCACGCUAUCAGAUGAGCCUAGGUCGGAUUAGCUAGUUGGUGGGGUAAAGACCUACCAAGGCGACGAUCCGUAACUGGUCUGAGAGGAUGAUCAGUCACACUGGAACUGAGACACGGUCCAGACUCCUACGGGAGGCAGCAGUGGGGAAUAUUGGACAAUGGGCGAAAGCCUGAUCCAGCCAUGCCGCGUGUGUGAAGAAGGUCUUCGGAUUGUAAAGCACUUUAAGUUGGGAGGAAGGGCAGUAAGUUAAUACCUUGCUGUUUUGACGUUACCAACAGAAUAAGCACCGGCUAACUUCGUG